rnacentral:lncRNA from 1 species
AAUCCUGGGUCAAAAGGAGCAACGGGACCAAAAGGAGACCGUGGAGAGAGUGUAGGCAUGGUGGCACAUUCCUUUAAUCUCAGCACUCAGGAGGCAGAGUCAAGAUCUCUGUGAGUUCAAGGCUGAUCUACAUAAUGAGUUCAAGACCAGCACCUCAAGAAAUUCCCUAGUAAAUCAGACAGACUUGAAAAUGGUCCAUCCAGACAACUAGCCACGACACUCAGGCAACUGUGACAGCUCGACUUGGCUCGUUGAAACCCGAAUCCUUUGCAGGGUGAGAGAAUUGGGGCCUUCAAAACAAUUUAUCCUCUGAGAUGCAAUUGUCAAGCCACCAGCCUCUAAUUGGCAAUGUGUUAAUUUUCAAGAACUUGACUGUGUUUUAAAUCUUUAUAUUUGUGUGGGUUUCUGCCAGAAAAAAUUAGCCAAAACUAUGACGUUGGGUAGAAAUGUUAUAAAUAGUUAAAAACUUGGUAGAUGUUUAAUAAAAAGAAGAUGUGU